UUUAAUGAGAGUUUGAUCCUGGCUCAGGACGAACGCUGGCGGCGUGCCUAAUACAUGCAAGUAGAACGCUGAAGGAGGAGCUUGCUUCUCUGGAUGAGUUGCGAACGGGUGAGUAACGCGUAGGUAACCUGCCUGGUAGCGGGGGAUAACUAUUGGAAACGAUAGCUAAUACCGCAUAACAGUAGAUGUUGCAUGACAUUUGCUUAAAAGGUGCAAUUGCAUCACUACCAGAUGGACCUGCGUUGUAUUAGCUAGUUGGUGGGGUAACGGCUCACCAAGGCGACGAUACAUAGCCGACCUGAGAGGGUGAUCGGCCACACUGGGACUGAGACACGGCCCAGACUCCUACGGGAGGCAGCAGUAGGGAAUCUUCGGCAAUGGACGGAAGUCUGACCGAGCAACGCCGCGUGAGUGAAGAAGGUUUUCGGAUCGUAAAGCUCUGUUGUAAGAGAAGAA
rnacentral:rRNA from 1 species